CGAGGUACUUUUCCAUGGCACGAGGCCUGUUUCCAGGCACAGUAAACAGACCGUCUAUGGAAGGAUGUCGCUUGCUUGUACGACUGCAGUCCAGAUAAUCAGCCCUCUGGAGUCCUAAUAAAGCCUCAUAGACCAGCACACUGACUUCAAAGAGCUGUUCUCUAAACUCGCCCUGCCUAGUCUGGAGGCUCUAACUGUCGUCGGGGGCUGCUUACCUCUCAUCUACGUCCCCCACUUCUGCCUUGUAAUAGGCCUCUGUCUAAUGUUGUCCAGAGAAAAACAACUGGUGACUCACCAGCCCCUUGGGAAAUGUGUCACCCCUUCCAGGAGUUUCGCAUUAAGAAAAGAGGUCAAAAUGGAGGAACAGAAGGACUAAUGGCGACGAGGUGAUGAGGGCAUUAAUAACCCUGCCGAUGAUGACAAAGACCUGAAGGUGACAGUUACUGGCUAUUUACUGUGGGCCAGAUAUGGUGCUAACAACCAACACCAUUAUCUUACAUGCUUGUAACGCCAACCACCCUUUGAGGUAGAUAUUAUCUUAUCCAUGUUACAGAUGAGGAAUGAAAAAAAAAAUCAAAUGCUCCACAUGGCAGACAAAGAGCUGAAAA